rnacentral:misc_RNA from 1 species
UGCCUGUUCGAGCGUCAUUACAACCCUCAAGCUCUGCUUGGUAUUAGGUGCAACCCACUGGGUGCACCAUAAAUAUUGGCGGUAGCACUCAGCUUCUAGCGUAGUACAUCUCUCACUAUGGAGCCUGAGCUGACACCUGCCAGAACCCUAAACAUAUCAAGGUUGACCUCGGAUCAGGUAGGGAUACCCGCUGAACUUAA